GGGCUGGUGGCGCAGUUGGCUAGCGCGCAAGUCUCAUAGCUACUGAGUAAUCCAGAGGUUGAGAGUUCGAACCUCUCUCACCCCA
rnacentral:tRNA from 1 species